rnacentral:rRNA from 1 species
AUUGAACGCUGGCGGCAUGCCUUACACAUGCAAGUCGAACGGUAACGGGCCUUCGGGUGCCGACGAGUGGCGAACGGGUGAGUAAUACAUCGGAACGUGCCCGAUCGUGGGGGAUAACGAGGCGAAAGCUUUGCUAAUACCGCAUACGAUCUACGGAUGAAAGCAGGGGACCGCAAGGCCUUGCGCGGACGGAGCGGCCGAUGGCAGAUUAGGUAGUUGGUGAGAUAAAAGCUUACCAAGCCGACGAUCUGUAGCUGGUCUGAGAGGAUGAUCAGCCACACUGGGACUGAGACACGGCCCAGACUCCUACGGGAGGCAGCAGUGGGGAAUUUUGGACAAUGGGCGCAAGCCUGAUCCAGCCAUGCCGCGUGCAGGAUGAAGGCCUUCGGGUUGUAAACUGCUUUUGUACGGAACGAAAAGCCUUCUUUUAAUACAGGAGGGUCAUGACGGUACCGUAAGAAUAAGCGCCGGCUAACUACGUG